UGAUAACAUUCAAAACUCAAAAGUUCCAGAAAUUCAAAUACAAGAUAUUGAAAAUCAAGGUGUUUCAAAUACAUUAGAAGAUGAAGAUCAAGUUAUUCCGAACACACUAGAUGAAGAAGGACAACCAGUAGAUGAAGACGAAGGUUUACACAUUGUCUCUAUUUAGAGACUUUGAAGAGGAAUUUGGCUACUCAAUGGCGACCACAGUACAAAUUCUAGGGAGAACUGAAGAAAACAUUAUUCUUUAUGAAGUAUCGCUAGA